GACGAACGCUGGCGGCGUGCCUAAUACAUGCAAGUCGAGCGAAUCAAUGGGAGCUUGCUCCCUGAGAUUAGCGGCGGACGGAUGAGUAACACGUGGGUAACCUGCCUGUAAGACUGGGAUAACUUCGGGAAACCGGAGCUAAUACCGGAUACGUUCUUUUCUCGCAUGAGGAGAGAUGGAAAGAUGGUUCUGCUAUCACUUACAGAUGGACCCGCGGCGCAUUAGCUAGUUGGUGAGGUAACGGCUCACCAAGGCGACGAUGCGUAGCGGACCUGAGAGGGGGAUCGGCCACACUGCGGCUGGGACGGGGCCAAGAGUCCUACGGGAGGCAGCAGUAGGGAAUGUUCCGCAAUGGAAGAAAGUCUGACGUAGCAACGCCGCGUGAGCGAAGAAGGCCUUCGGGUCGUAAAGCUCUGUUGUUAGGGAAGAACAAGUACGAGAGUAACUGCUCGUACCUUGACGGUACCUAACCAGAAAGCCACGGCUAACUACGUGCCAGCCGCCGCCGUAA
rnacentral:rRNA from 1 species